AAACUAGAAAUGGCGCGGCAGAGGCCGACGCGUAUCCCCACGCCGCAUGUUUGACCCAAGGGCGCCCCAGGGUUGAUCAUGGGGCCAUGCAUAGUUGAGAUUGACUGUAUUGUCAUAAGAGAAGUUCAGUAUCAAUUAGAAGUGAAUGGGUGUAAAAAUAAAGAAGUUAUAGUAAAAGGCAAUUUUGGGAGGGUGUGGCCUAUGUGGGCGGGGUGCCCCAGGGUUGGUAAUGGGGCCAUGCAUAGUUGAGAUUGACCGUAUUGUCAUAAGAGAGGUUCAGUAUCAAUUUGAAGUGAAUCAGUGUAGAAAUGAAGAAGUUAAUGUAAAAUAACCUAAUUUUUUUUUAUAGUAAAUGGAUUUUUUUGGUGGGUGUGGCCUAUGUGGGCGGGCGCCCCAGGGUUGGGAUUGGGGCCAUGCAUAGUUGAGAUUGACCCUAAUGUCAUAACAAAAGUUCAGUAUCAAUUUGAAGUGAAUCCGUGUAGAAAUGAAAAAAUUAUAGUAAAUGGAAAUUUUUGGUGGGUGUGGCCUAUGUGGGCGGGGCGCCCCAGGGUUGGGAAUGGGGCCAUGCAUGGUUGAGAUUGACCGUAUUGUCAUAGGUGAGGUCCAGUAUCAAUUUGAAGUGAAUCGGUGUAGAAAUAAAGAAGUAAAUGUAAAAUAACCUAAAAAAAUGAGUGAUAAUUUCUGACGCGGCCCCACCCCAACCCCUAUAACUUUUGACCCAGGGGUCAGAUCAAAAUUCCAAAUAGUGCACCGUCGCACAUAUGCUCAUAGCUACCAUGUGUGUAAAUUUCAAGGUUCUAGUGCUUUUAGUGUAGGAGGAGAUAGUGGCCAGGACGGACGGACGGACAGACGGACGGACAGACGGACGGACGGACGGCGGAGAUCACCACAAUAUCCC